UGACAUCAUGACCUGAGCUGAAGUCUGACACUCAACCUACUGAGCCACCCAGGUGCUCCUCUUUUGCGCUUACAUUCUUAAACUUGAAUUUGUUCUGUUGGGUUGAAUCAUGGGCCAGUUUUAUAUGUUGAUUGUUGGAGAACAGUUUUUUGUUUUGCUGAUUUUUAUUAUAAUGAUUAGUUUUUUAAGGCCCACAUUUCUUUCUGCAAACUACAUGUAUGGGAGUGGCUAUAGAAAAAUCGUGUCCUCCUGCACUUAAUUAUGGGAAAGUUUACUUCAUUUUAGUGGUUCCUAAUUGGAAAAUAUGAAGUCAGCCUACUAUACCCUCAGCAUUUGAUUACCCCACAACAUGGAUGGCAUCUAGUCCAGUGAGCUCCUGGUGGUGUAGACAUCACUAGGCACGGUCGGUGUCCAAAGAUGGGUGUCUGAAUCCUGUGCAUUUCAAGCAGCCACUACCAGAGAUGGCACUGGAAAUGAAACCCAUUUGCAUCCCACUCUUACGAAGAGAAUUUGUGCUAUGAGCAGAAAGCAAGUCUUGACUGAUGUCAAGGAAGAGAAGGAAAGAAGGAAAUCUUUGUGUUUCACUCAGCACACACACAUUUUUGCCCCCUCUCUUACACUAAAAAAAUUCAGGUAGGUUUAGCAGCCUUUAAAUACCACUCAUAUAACCAGGAGAUCUUAUUUGUGAUCACAGAUUUAUAAACUGUUGUUAAAUACUUUAUGAUCAGAUGCCAUUUUUCACUGUAAUCUAAAGCACUAAAAACCUCUGCCCCUGAUAUAUGGUUAGUGGUCAGGUUCAAACAAAAGAGGCAGAAUCAAGUAAAAAAUGUGUAUUCCUUAAGUAGACCAUAUAGAAUUUCUUGAUUACCAAGACACCUAAAGCUUUAUUUAGUUUUCGUACUUGAAGAGUUUUAAAAGCUCAUACGUAAAAGGCAUGCGGAGUACUGGUUAAAUACAUCCCAAGGCCUCUCUAGCCCUACUGAAUUAGAAUUUGAGUUAGUCAACAUUUUCAAUAAAAAUCCCCAGCUGGUUGUGAUAAAAAGGGUGUUUAGAUAACACUUUAAACAUAAUGCUAGGAAAAGAUACUCAACAUCAUUAGUCAUUAGGGAAAUGCAAAUCAAAACCAAGAGAUGCUACCUCACACCAUGGGGAUGGCUAUUCCCAAGGUGGAAAAGUGGUGGCCAGGAGUGGAGAGACUGGGAUCUGUGUGUAUUGCUGGCAGGAACGGCAGAUGGUGCAGCUACGGAGGAGAACAGUUUGGUGGCUCCUCACAGUUAAGCAUGGACUCCUCCUAAGAACAGCAAGUCUACUACUGGGCAUAUACCCCAAAGAACUGGCCAGCAGGGGACAUGGCUAGUCGUACACUCAUUAUUAGCAGAACUCUUCACAACAGCCAAGAGGUGGAAACAACCCAAAGUUUCAACAGAUGAAUGGGUAAGAUGGGGCUCGUGCACACAGUGUCAUGUUAUUUGAAGAAAUGAAACUCUGAUGCAUGUGGUCAGCAUGGAUGAACCCUGACAACCCACUAAGUGAAGUAGGUCACAUAUGAAAGGUUACAUAAUUGGCAAAUUCAUGGAGAAAAGGGGGUGGCUGGACGACGGGAGUCAUGGUUCAGAGGGUAGAGUUUAGGAUCACGAAAAAAGCUCUGGAUAGUGCUCGCUUCGGCAGCACAUAUACUGAAAAAGCUCUGGAUAUAGAUAGUGGUGAUGGUUACACACCAUUGUGAAUAUAAUUUCCCUGAAUUACACACUUAAAACUGGCUAAAAUGGUAUAUUCAUUUGUCACAAUAAAAAGUGAAUGAAAUGAGAAACCAAAACCAAUCCCAAAGAAACAAAGGUCAUACUGUUGAAUAAUGUCCUACACACCUAGGUUUUUGCCAUUGGCUCUUUAGAAAGGGGUGCGUGCUGAAGCAGGGGGGCGCCGGGGAUGCCCUACUGCUGCUCAGGUGCGUACAAAAAGCUGCGUGUUCAGGACUCUUAAGGAAGAACAUGGGUUAAGUCCCACUUUGUGUUCUUUUGCUACUUCUGGGUGUAAUGAGUCAGAGCGAUCUGGGUAUGGAUCAGCUCCCUCUGGUUGCUGACAAUGAACAUUGUAUUUUCCUCCCCCGUAAAGAUGGCUGAGAAGUGUGAAGUCCUAACAGUGAGAGGAUAGUCCGUGAAAUGUUUUUAAAUGCCCUGAUGCUUGCACCAGCCAUAAAGAACCCUAGAUCUGGAUGUGGGAUUCCAGAACACAUUACUGGCAGGUAUUUAGGUAAGGAAAAGCUAAGUAAUUGGAAGAGCCCGACUUCCUUCUCCAGAGCCCGGAUUAAGUCACAGGAGAAGGGACCAUGGAAAGUACUGGAUCUGGGAACUGGCACAGCAGACCGGGAACAGACGGGAAGUGACAAGAGUCAGGAUACCAAGUUUGGGGACCCUCCCAGGGUGGAUGGCUGCCUCUCUCUGGAAACCGGACUUCUUUUUAACAUGAUGUGUACUAACAUGAGCCACCAGCCCGGUGUAAAUGAUCACUUUCUGACUGCCCCUUCCUUCAGCAUUAGUGGCACCAGUACCAGGGUGUGUAGACCUCACCACAGCUUCACCUCAUUGAAUAGUUUCCACAAAGACUAAUGGUGACAUUUUCAUCUUUGCCCAGUACCCCUUCUAUGUUGUUUUUGGGAUUUGAUAAUGUCUCCCAGUGACUCUGCUAAGGUCUAUACCAAUGGUUCCUGAUGUUGACUGUGCAUCAGAAUCCCCUGCAGGGCUUCCCAAAGCAGAUUUCUGGGCCUUCACCACCCAGAGUUUGAUUCAGGUCUGCUGGUGGGCCUUAAGAAUUUACAUUGCUAUCAAGUUCUCAGUACAGAUGCUCCCGUUCAGGCAUCACACUGAGAACUGAUGCUCUGUACCUCUCCAAGGCCAGUAAUGAUUCCACUGAAGACAAGAAUUCAAUUUUUAUCAAUCCGUUUAUUCAAUUAACAUUUCUAUAAUCAACACCAGCCAUUUGAGUGAGGUUACUGUCGUGAUCAUGUUCAAAGAUUAGGGACACUUAGCCUACCUCUACUGGUAUGAACAAAAACCUUUUCUGUGCCCUUUGACACUUCAUAACUUGCAAUUCUGAAAAGUCGGGAUUUCGGCCUACAGUUUGCUAUUUAAGAGACCAGGUCUGGUCUUGACAAUAAAGCCACCAUCAAAAGCUGCAUUAAGAACUUCAUCCAGGCAGCUUGCUGUAACAAAACUUAAAUCCUGUCGUACAUUGCCCGGGAUUUCUUCAAGGUCUUUUUCGUUCCUCUGAGGAAUAAUGACUUGCUUCAAUCCUGCUCUGUGUGCCGCCAGCACUUUGUCUUUAAUCCCACCCACCUAGGAGGAGAGAAGAAAGUUACUCAGAUUUCUGGACAUCCUCCGGCUGUGAAAAGAUCCCUGACCCAACUUUUUUUCACAGCUAUUUUAAAACGUCUAAAUCAUCUUCCAUUUUGUUACAGCAUGAGCUAGGAAAGCCAUUAAAAAGGUUAAUAAACAGUAAAUUGUUUUACAUUUCGUGUUCAGUCCUUUUAAUGGGGGAAAAUUCUAAAUUUUCAGUAAUGAGCACCUUUUGUGUCCAUGAUCCCUUUUUGCACUGUCAAGGUUAAUAUUUAUAUUCCAUUCUGUAAUCAAAAUCUUAUCUAUAGGUUCAUUCUGAAAAAGCAUUACAUUAUCUUGACCACAAAUACCAUUCCUAUAGAGCUUAGUUGAGUGCCAGGAUCUCUCCUUCUGUACAGGUUUAAAGCCAUAACCUUUGUGCCACUUGAUGAAGAAAAUCUAUCCCAAAUGAUCUAGGCACUUAGGUGGUUUUAAAGUAUGUCCACAAUGGUCCCUUCAUAAAAGGAGGAGUCUAAUUCCCCUCCCCCUGAAUGUAGGUCAGGCUGAGUGACUCAUAAAUGGAAUGUGGGGGAAGUGAUGCUGUAUGACUUUCAAAGUUAACCCAUAGAAAAUGAGAGUUGCUGCUGCUGCUAGAUCUGUCUCUCUUGGAUCUCUUGCCCUGGAGGUAGCCAGCUGCCAUGUUUGAGAUCACCCAAUAGCCCCCAGAGAAGCCCUAAGGUGAGGAACUGGGGCUUCCUGCCAACCAGGACCAAUCUGCUAGUCAUGUGAGUGAACCAUGUUGGAAGCAGCAGAUCCCCAGCCCCAGUCAACCUUAAGAUGACUGUGACUGGGUUGCUGUCUUGACUGUAUGAUGGGAUCCGGAAGCAGAAGAGCUCAGCUAAGCCUCUCCUGAAUUCCUGACCCACAGAAACUGUAAGAAUAACAAACACCAUUGUUUUGGGUGGUGUGUUAUACAGCAAUAGACUCCAAAUGCAACUCUCAGUCAUACCACCCAGAACACAUAAGCCCUGGAGACAGCUCUCAGAGCCCUCCAACCACCUGCACUGACACUGGUUGCUCCAGGCCCUCCUGCACAGCUGUCCUCCUCUUUCUAGGCUCUUCGGUAUGCUGCUGACGUACACCUUCCAGGUAAGUACCUUCUUCACAAAGAAUCUAAGACAAACAGACUCCUUGCAUGUAUGAAAAUAACCAUUUUACUUUCACGUUUUAUUGAAGGUGUAUACGAGACUGGACUUCAAGUCAUUUUCCAUCAGAAUUUUGAAGGGACCGUACAUCUGGUGUCACUGAGGAGAAUGAGAGAACUUUCUCCUUGGUUACCUGAAAGGCUUUGGGGACGACCUCUUUCUCCCAGCUGGUGUAGACCCUUUCAAUCUGAAGAUAACCUUCAAUUCUAGGAAACGUUCAAUUCCAUUUUCUGUCUACUAGAAUGCCUGAUAGCUCAAUGUUGGAUCUGCCUGCUUUUUCUAUUAUUUUUUUCUGAACAGUUCUUUGACUAAUUCUAAAACAGUUUUAAAUCCAACUUCUGUCUUAUUCUCUGUUCUUGAAUGGUCUUUGCCAGCGUUAGCAAGUCUUUCUCUUAAAUGCUGCUGCUUUUCUUCUGUCUCAUGGGACAGGUUUAAAACUGGAGGCUUACUCAAACUUUCCCCGUGGGGCUGGGAAAGCCUGGACCUGGUUGAGUGCAAGUGGAAGAACCACUUAUUCUAUGGAGAUUUCUAUGAAUCCCCUCAUUUUGUUUCCCAUUUCUUUCCUGCUCUCCUGGUCUGUGCUUUCUGGUUAUGAGCCCU